rnacentral:rRNA from 1 species
CAGCCGCCACGGGAACACGAGGGGGGCAAGCGUUGUUCGGAAUUAUUGGGCGUAAAGGGCGCGUAGGCGGUUUGGCAAGUUUCGUGUGAAAUCUUCGGGCUCAACUCGAAGUCUGCACGGAAAACUGCCGAGCUAGCAGGUGAGAGAGGUAAGUGGAAUUCCGAGUGUAGAGGUGAAAUUCGUAGAUAUUCGGAAGAACACCAGUGGCGAAGGCGGCUUACUGGCUCAUACUGGACGCUGAGGUGCGAAAGCGUGGGGAGCAAACAGGAUUAGAUACCCCAGUAGUCCCUGUCUCUUAUAC